UGGGGAAUUUUGGACAAUGGGCGAAAGCCUGAUCCAGCAAUGCCGCGUGUGUGAAGAAGGCCUUCGGGUUGUAAAGCACUUUUGUCCGGAAAGAAAUCCUUGGCUCUAAUACAGUCGGGGGAUGACGGUACCGGAAGAAUAAGCACCGGCUAACUACGUGCCAGCAGCCGCGGUAAUACGUAGGGUGCAAGCGUUAAUCGGAAUUACUGGGCGUAAAGCGUGCGCAGGCGGUUUGCUAAGACCGAUGUGAAAUCCCCGGGCUCAACCUGGGAACUGCAUUGGUGACUGGCAGGCUAGAGUAUGGCAGAGGGGGGUAGAAUUCCACGUGUAGCAGUGAAAUGCGUAGAGAUGUGGAGGAAUACCGAUGGCGAAGGCAGCCCCCUGGCAAGUACUGACGCUCAUGCACGAAAGCGUGGGGAGCAAACGGAUUAAUNCCCUGGUAGUCCACGCCCUAAANGAUGUCAACUAGUUGUUGGGGAUUCAUUUCCUAGUAACGUAGCUAACGCGUGAAGUUGACCGCCUGGGGAGUACGGUCGCAAGAUUAAAACUCAAAUAAUUGACGGGGUCA
rnacentral:rRNA from 1 species